AUACAAAUGGUCAAGCCUCUGAC
rnacentral:siRNA from 1 species